AGAACGAACGCUGGCGGCGUGGAUAAGACAUGCAAGUCGAGCGAGAUUUUUUCUUGUAGCAAUGCAGGGAAAAGUCUAGCGGCGAACGGGUGCUUAACACGUGGGCAAUCUGCCGAGAAGUGGGGGAUAGCUCGCCGAAAGGCGAAUUAAUACCGCAUGUGAUUAGAGUGGACAUCCAUUCGAAAUCAAAGUCGGGCAACCUGACGCUUCUUGAGGAGCCCGCGGCCUAUCAGCUAGUUGGUGAGGUAACGGCCCACCAAGGCGAUGAC
rnacentral:rRNA from 1 species